AUUGAACGCUGGCGGCAGGCCUAACACAUGCAAGUCGAGCGGAUGAAGGGAGCUUGCUCCUGGAUUCAGCGGCGGACGGGUGAGUAAUGCCUAGGAAUCUGCCUGGUAGUGGGGGAUAACGUCCGGAAACGGGCGCUAAUACCGCAUACGUCCUGAGGGAGAAAGUGGGGGAUCUUCGGACCUCACGCUAUCAGAUGAGCCUAGGUCGGAUUAGCUAGUUGGUGGGGUAAAGGCCUACCAAGGCGACGAUCCGUAACUGGUCUGAGAGGAUGAUCAGUCACACUGGAACUGAGACACGGUCCAGACUCCUACGGGAGGCAGCAGUGGGGAAUAUUGGACAAUGGGCGAAAGCCUGAUCCAGCCAUGCCGCGUGUGUGAAAAAGGUCUUCGGAUUGUAAAGCACUUUAAGUUGGGAGGAAGGGCAGUAAGUUAAUACCUUGCUGUUUUGACGUUACCAACAGAAUAAGCACCGGCUAACUUCGUG
rnacentral:rRNA from 1 species